rnacentral:rRNA from 1 species
GACGUAGGGCGCGAGCGUUGUCCGGAUUUAUUGGGCGUAAAGCGCACGUAGGCGGAUUUGUAAGUCAGGGGUGAAAUCCCGGGGCUCAACCUCGGAACUGCCUUUGAUACUGCAAGUCUCGAGUCCGAUAGAGGUGAGUGGAAUUCCUAGUGUAGAGGUGAAAUUCGUAGAUAUUGGGAAGAACACCAGUGGCGAAGGCGGCUAACUGGUCCAGCACUGACGCUGAGGUGCGAAAGCGUGGGGAGCAAACAGG